AUUGAACGCUGGCGGCAGGCCUAACACAUGCAAGUCGAACGAGCGGCGGACGGGUGAGUAAUGUAUGGGGAACUGCCUGAUGGAGGGGGAUAACUACUGGAAACGGUAGCUAAUACCGCAUACCAUCGGAUGUGCCCAGAUGGGAUUAGCUUGUAGGUGGGGUAACGGCUCACCUGGGCGACGAUCCCUAGCUGGUCUGAGUGGAUGACCAGCCACACUGGAACGGAGACAAGGCCCAGACUCCUACGGGAGGCAGCAGUGGGGAAUAUUGCACAAUGGGCGCAAGCCUGAUGCAGCCAUGCCGCGUGUAUGAAGAAGGCCUUAGGGUUUUAAAGUACUGUCAGCGGGGAGGCGUUACCCGCAGAAGAAGCACCGGCUAACUCCGUGCCAGCAGCCGCGGUAAUUC
rnacentral:rRNA from 1 species